UACGUAGGUGGCAAGCGUUGUCCGGAAUUAUUGGGCGUAAAGCGCGCGCAGGUGGUUUUUUAAGUCUGAUGUGAAAGCCCACGGCUCAACCGUGGAGGGUCAUUGGAAACUGGGGAACUUGAGUGCAGUAGAGGAAAGUGGAAUUCCAAGUGUAGCGGUGAAAUGCGUAGAGAUUUGGAGGAACACCAGUGGCGAAGGCGACUUUCUGGUCUGUAACUGACACUGAGGCGCGAAAGCGUGGGGAGCAAACGGG
rnacentral:rRNA from 1 species